CUUCGCGAUUUUCCCCACAAGACAAGCACAUGGUUUGUUGCUGAAUUGUUUGUUUUAUGGACCUUGUUUUAUCAGGUUACUACAAUGAUUUCAUGGGUUUGCACCCACCCGGUACUUGAUGAUGUUCUAAGAGCCUGUGGAUUCCUGAAACAUUGCUUGAUUGUCUUUCCUUGAAAUCGCAGCUAAUUCAAUUUGCUGCGGAAUGUACUGCAAAAGUAUUCUCUCAGCGAUAAUGCUGUGUUCAGUCUUCCCUACUAUUCUCAACCGUGGGAGAAAUCCAAAGUGUCUCAUCUUAUUAGCAGGUGGAAUUCUGGGAAUUGCUCCAUCGAGUCGAUUGAACAGUUGCUUAUCACACCGAGCAUGAAGUUCCCAUCAUUGAAAAUAUUUACAAUGAGCGUCCGUAGGAGAAUUAGGCCGUUGCAGAUGGGGGGAACAAAUUCUCUAGUCUCUUGACUACGGUUCCCAGUGAAAUUCUUUUUCCCGGUUCAGUCUCAAUCAUAUCACGAAUCAACUCGUAAACUGGACUCAAUUCCUUGUUUGAUGUCCGUAUGGCUUCUAACGAUGAAUUCCUCUCU
rnacentral:lncRNA from 1 species